rnacentral:rRNA from 1 species
GAAACGCCCGGUCCCAUUCCGAACCCGGAAGCUAAGCCUGCCCGCGCUGAUGGUACUGCACUCGGGAGGGUGUGGGAGAGUAAGUUACCGCCGACC